rnacentral:lncRNA from 1 species
ACCACUAAACCUUAGAAAACUCAGCUGCCAAAAUGUCAACGUAAUAUUGCAACGACGACCGCAAAUACAAGUCAAAGAAAACUAUUUAAACACCAUCACACCAUUUAUUUAUAGCAAAAGCUAGCCAGUGAAAGCUAUUUCAAGCACAACCACAACAUUUAUUUAACAUGCAGUUCCCAACAUUCUACUGCAUCACCAGGAAGGAAACAAACUGGCACUGCUUCUCACCAAACUAAUCCACAAAUGUAGUCAGGCACACAACACUGAACUAGAACACCAUAUCAUAAGAGAACACACCCCAGAUACGACCGACCGUCUCUUCAUCCUGCGACUUUCCUCGAAUAGCUUCUUCCAGGCAUAAUAUCUUGAGAACGUCCAAGGAACACGUCACGUGGCCCAUGCAACCCUCCUGCCUUCAUAGGUUGAGGUAAUGGCUGCUUUAUAGGUGCUCUACCAGAGCCAAUGGUCAUGUUGGCAAGCUUCUCAGCAGCAUCAGAGACUGCACGAGUCUUCACUGCAGAACCAACAACUGCCACAUAAAACAGUCGUAAGAAUUCAAUACAAUAAGUAACACAAAAGUAUCCUUUUAUGCAUUAGAAGGUUAAUGUUGAAACUCACCAGGAACAUUCCUUGCAGGAGGACGAUAUUUUGCUGGCUGCUUAACAGCGCCUUUCAGGGAUUUAUCGUUCUUUGUUGAGUCCUGGGUAAAAACAAUUUUGGCAUAAAUUACAUGAAACAGAACACUGAUAUAUAAAGACCAAUUCGAGGUUUUCCACGGCAAAAUACCUGAUAAUUCAUUUGCAACUUCCUUUGGACACCUGUUACCCAGUGGUUAUGUAGAAAAUAUCAUAGAUGCAUUAGGACAAAAGGAAAUAAACCAUUUGUACAGAACAAGAUGCUUUCAUGUUAGGAUCCAAAAGACAAGAUGGUGGUUUUUUAAAGCUCUGCAGGAAGAAUAAUAGCUCCAAUAACUAUUAGGAUUUAUGUUAGAUCUUUAUACGCUACCUGGGCUAAAUUGCGACUUGACAGGAGAGAAGUUGCUACGAGGCUUUGAGUUGGUUAUUGUACCAGAUGACCAUCUAUUGGUUUUCUGCUCCAUGGCACCUUUUAUUCCAGCUGCAACCACCAGAGAUCUGAUUACUUCUUUAAAUUUAAAACCCAAUUACUUCCAAGAAAAGCUUUAUUAAUAAUUACAAAACAAACCAGAUGGAGGCGUCCUAGCAACAGCAGCCUUAGAACGUAGUGAUGGAGGUACAUAAAAGCAACUCUGCCAUAUCAAAACCAAUAUCAUUUCCAUGAACUCUAAAUAGGAGAUAGAAAAUUGAUAGUUCACAAUUUGAAGAAGUUUAUCACCUGGAAGAAACGGUGCUGAAGAACUUCGACCGCUGUUGGCCUCUUGCAAGGAUCCCAAGAACAAAGCGACUGCAGGAAACAAGAACAGAACAGAUGAGAUGCCAAGUAAGCAGCUCAGUUAUCCCUAAUAUUUCAAACUUCAAGAACAGGAAAGUAAAUUUAAAAUAAGGUUUUUCAACUUCUGCUGCAAAUAUCUAUCAAACAAAUUCAUAAGAUAAACGCAAUUGCUUUUCUCAAGAUCUUACAGUGAUCAGAUUAACUGCAUCCUCACUGGCAGAUGGGAGUAAAAAAGAAAGAUUUACACCAGCGAUCUGCCACAUCAAAUCACAAAGGAGAUGUCAAACAAAUUUAACCAAAAACAGAAAGGUAUGGCCGAUAAAACAGGCACUCUUAACUUUCUACCAUAGAGCCCACUUGUUCACAUAUUUGUGAAAAACAAAAAUCUCUUAGGAUUGAAGAAUCAAAACGGCAUGAUGGGGAGAGGAUGAGUCGAGGAAAACCUUUAGAGAUCAAGGUUUAUUUAUAUCAGUUAUGAAAAACAACAGAACUUUUCUAGUUCCCUUUAUUUAAAAUAAAUAAGGAGAACACAUUCGACCUGCGGAAACUGGUAGUUGAUAGAACUUGCAAGUUCGUGCCCGUGAGCCCAUUCACUCUUUGAUGGAGUACCUAUAACAGUGCAUAUUUUGUAGAUCUCAUCUGCUUCACUGCACCAAAAAUGAGACAAUUUUCAGCAUAAGGAAAAUAUAUGGCAAAAUUACGAUGUCCAAAAUCCGACAUUAUGAAACUAUCAUUAAACGCCUAUAAAAAUUAAACAGCAGUAGAAAACUGAUACAGGAGCAGAACAUCACAUAGUACAACCCAUCCCAACUCUACCAAUCACCCAUUAUAUAAAUAAUCAGUGCACAUGUUAAUUGAAAUUGAACUGUACUUAAAAAGUAUAGAAGAGGAAAAUGCAUUAACAAAGGGAAAAAAUCAGAAAGACUAAUGCGCACCUUGAACCCGGGAAUAGAGGACGAAGAGUUAAUAGCUCAGCCAUUAUUGCACCCAUUGCCCACAUAUCUGAAUAGAAGAGAGAGAAUCAAUAAUAAAACCAAAGAAAAGCAAUAUAUUUCCCCAGACAAGGGGUGAGGAGCAACAAAAUUUCAAAUAGAUACAAAAAAUUUCAUACUCACCGACAGCGGGACCAUAGAUUGGUGACUGUAGAAGAACUUCAGGGGCACGAUACCUGCAGUUCCACAUGACAGCUAUCAGAAAAAGGAAAAAAAAGAAAAGAUCACCUCAGUAACUUGCUCAAAUAAGAUAAAACAGAUCAGGGAUGCACUAACCAGCGAGUCGAGACAUAUUCCGUAUAAGGGGGCUGAGAAUUGAUCUCCCGAGCAAGACCGAAAUCAGCAAUUUUUAUUGUAUCUUUUGAAACCAACAAGUUCUCUGUACAAUAGAAAAAAAUGUCAGAUCAGAAUCCCGAAAAUUGGAAAAAACAUUCUGAUGAAAUGCCAUAAUAUGCUGUCAUGGACUGUAAGAAAGAGAGUUUGAACUUCAACUCUGCAGAGGAAAUGCAAAAGGGGGGGAAGCAUAGCUUUGGAAAUAUUAGCUUUCCACCUUCAGUCUUCACCAUCUAAUAGCAAGGAGAUCCAACACCCCUUCAAUUUAAUAAAUGAAAAGAUCCUCACAGAAGCUGUGAUCAAAUUAACUCAAAGAGAAUCAGGCCAAGAUCACCUGGCUUAAGGUCGCGAUGAAAAUAUCCUCGUUGAUGCAUGUAUGCAAGACCUUGAAAUAUUUGGAAGCACCAGUUUCUCACUUCUGAUUCUAAGAAAAGCUUAGGCCUGUCCUUCAUAAGGUGAUAUAAGUUGCACUCCUGAGAAAAGCCCAAAUGGAAUUAGAUAAGUAAAUAUAACUGAUUCAUAAAAAAAAUAUAGAUGGUCAAGAACCAUCACAUACCAUGUAUUCGAACAAAAAGUACAAAAUGUCAUUCUCCCUAAUCACUUCUUUGAGCUUAAUGAUAUUUGGAUGGAUCAUUUUCCUCAAAGACUGCAAAAGAAUAAGCAAUUAAUUGUAUUCGAAAGAGGAAAAGCCAAGGGUAACUAUUAAGGCAGAAUCUCAUUUUACCUUGACUUCUCUCAAGUUUAUGCAUUCUUCCCAUGAAUAAUACUUCUUCUUCAUUUUUUUAAUUGCAACCUAUGGUACAUAAAUGAGUAGUUUUAGAUGAACCUUCAUAUUAAGGCAGAAUCUCAUUUUACCUUGACUUCUCUCAAGUUUAUGCAUUCUUCCCAUGAAUAAUACUUCUUCUUCAUUUUUUUAAUUGCAACCUAUGGUACAUAAAUGAGUAGUUUUAGAAGAACUGUCAACAGCAGCAAUACCAGUAAUUUAUUUCUUGUUUUUAAGACAUUCCAAACCUACCACUUCACCAGUCUGUUUGUUCAAAGCUCGCCACACACUCCCAAAUGUACCAUUACCAACUUCCUUAAUUAUCUUGUACCUGUGCCAUCACCAGAACAUGUUGAGCAAAACUGAAAAUAAAGAGUGCUAAUUGUAAGGAAUAAAAUCCACCAUCACACCUUUCCAUUUUUUGGAGGUUCAGUAGCACAAAGGACACCUGGUUAUUGGAGAUAAAAAGACAAUAAAAACAACGUGGAGUUGUUCCUCUUCACUAGUUGACUGGAAAGAGAAUUAUUAAAUAGGAACUAGUAGCCUGGGUGACUCAGCAGAAUCAACCGUCAGUUUUCCGCUGCAGUACGGACAAGAGCAAAACCAGUACUGAUAAGAUGGAUGGGCUUGACAGCCUUAUUCAUCAAAUAUACCGCA